rnacentral:pre_miRNA from 11 species
AGCCGCAUGCGAAGAUCGAUCUUCGCAUGCGGUUGCUUAAGAGGGCCACAUGCGAACAUCGAUCUUCGCAUGCGGCC